AAGGAAUAUUGGUGGAUUUCAAGUAAUCAAGCAAUCAAAGGUUCCAACGAAGCCCCAUCGCCCCAUGUGGACAAUUAGAGAAGUAGAGUCGACAAAAGGUUCAACAAGAUACCGAUUCAGUGGUGGUUGAUACGUAGAUUGAGGUGUCCGCGUACCCCCAUCUUUUGGGUAGGUAUCUUGACACUCAGUAGUCACAUCUCCCAUCCAGAGCCACUCCACUGAUGGUCAAAGUCUUUGUAUAUGUUUAAUGUAAAUUGUAAAGAUAUAUUGACAAACUAUCUAUGUAUGAUUUGAAUUAUGAUGCUAAUGUGAGCAUUCACUUAGGUUUUAUAAGUUGCGUUGGAGAAAUCGACAUUUGAAUACUAUUAAG